rnacentral:lncRNA from 1 species
GCCCCCCCCCCGGGGCCGCAGCUCUCGGGAUGCACGCUGCCGGCUGUGGGGCGCGCGGGCCGGGGGGGGGGGGUGUGUGCCCGUCCCGUGCAACAGAAUAAAGGCUCUUGUAUUUGGGGGGGGCUCUUGUAUUUGUGCAGGGAAUGCACAGGGAUGCGUGCACAGGGAUGCAGGUGGUGCUGCAAGGGAUGCACAGGGAUGCAGGGGAUGCUGCAGGGGAUGCACAGGGAUGGAUGCACAGGGAUGCACAGGUGAUGUCCUAUGGGAGAUGCACAGGGAUGCAGGGGGAUGCAGGGAUGCUGCAGGGGAUGCACAGGGAUGCAGGUGAUGCUGCAGGGGAUGCACAGGGAUGCAGGUGAUGCUGCAGGGGAUGCACAGGGAUGCAGGUGGUGCUGUGGGGGACGUGCACAGGGAUGCAGGGGAUGCACAGGGAUGGAUGCACAGGGAUGCACAGGGAUGCACAGGGAUGCAGGGGAUGCUGCAGGGGAUGCACAGGGAUGCCGGUGCUGCACACGGGGUUAUGCACAAGGAUGCACGGCGAUGCACAGGUGCUGUUACACGGGAGACGCACGGGGAUGCAGAGGGGCGGCAGAUGGAGCAGCGCAGCAG